rnacentral:misc_RNA from 1 species
CUCUUUCACAUCACAAUUGCAAUGAAAAAUCUGGCUGUCAGAGCACCCGGCGUUGCAUCGUCCUGCGAGGACUGCCAAAAAUACCACCGUUACCGGACGUUCAGAUUGCUCCUUGAGCAGGUGAAUAUUUUGAUGCGCUUUGCCCUGCUCGUUGCAUCGAUGCUGUGCGGCCUCGCGCCUGCGCCCGCUCAUGCCGCACAAACCAUCCGGCUCGCACAGGCCGCGCCCCCGCAACCGGCAAGCCCCGCACCGGCGCCA